rnacentral:lncRNA from 1 species
UUUUGUUUUCCUAAACGCUUUCGGGCGGCGGAGCCCGGUGUUCGGACGCGGGUCUGCGGGCCUGGGUGCUUGGUGCAGCGGGAAGCAGGGUUUGGGGGACAGCUCCUCUUUUGGGGGGGGGGGGGUUGCGCGCGGUAAUUGCAAGUUUGUUAGAAGCCGGGCUAGCGAGUCGAGUUCAGGUCCGAAGCUCCCGCACUCCUCACCGGGCUGGAGCAGGGUCCCGGACUGGGCUGUAUCCACAGCCCGGUGACCCCAGGUGCCAAGGCCGCGGGGGACCCGGGAGGUUUGGCGGGGGCGGGGAGCGCCCGCAGAGUUACUGCGGAGCCCCGUUUGUCCCAUAGAACGGUCAGGGGAUACGAAGGGAGGGGAUCAUCCUCGGGGCUUCUCCAACUCUCGGCCUGAGAGGGAGGACGCCCUGGGACCGGUGUCCGAGAGCGGCCGCAGGGCCACGGCCAUUCUCGCCUCGGGCUGAUUGGACGUGUGCUAAGCAGUCCCACCCGGUGGCCGUCGGCGGGGAGGAAGGAGCGCGCUGAGACACGGCGCGAGUGGUUUAGACACCCGGCUCCCGCUCAGCCUGCCUGACACGCCGUCUCCUGCAAGCAGUUCCGUGUCGGCCCCUCGGUGAAUUCCACUGUGCACAUCGCUGGGACUUCUAAUAUUUGCCUGCUAGCGAGGCAUCAUCAAACAGCUUUCUUACGUGGUACAGAGGUAUUUAGCGCGCUGCAUCCUGAGCCCCCCGGGCUCUCCACCACGCAGUCGCCUCGCAGCCCCAAGGCUUGGUCAGUUGGGACACACACGCGCGCGCACACACACACGCGCACACACACACAACUGUGAGUUAAGUGAACCGCAGCCACCACUCGGUGCUGAAGCUCCUCGAUGUUGUGUAAGGCUCAAAGGGAUGUGCUGUGUGUCGAUGAUGGAUAGGACCCUAGAAUUUGGAAAACACCCUGGAGGUAGUUCUGAACCACCAGUGAUCCUUCCUGUCCUGAGUAGAAGAAGCCUGCGCCUAGCAGCAGAAGCCUGACUUCCUUGUGUCUGGUAAAAGUUCGGACGCUGACACCUUGAAUCCACCGUGUCCCAGUCUGCCAUGGAACCACUAGAGAAAAUAAUUUAUAUUUGUGUCAAGGAAGCCUUCUGAGAAUCAAGGAGUCAACAGAGGCAGAUUAUUUUGAAAUCCAGUGGUGAAAGACGUUCAAAUAUUCAAACAAUGGUAGACCUUAGGAAAAUACUAUGUUCUCGGCCCGCUGCUCAUUUUCUGCUACUCUAGUGGAAUCCAUGUAUUUUCCAAAGUUGUAGGCAAGGGAUUCUUUCAGCAGGGGAGUGAAAAGGGUAACCUUUGUUGAGGGUCACAGGUGAAUUGGGGAAAGUGGGACGUGUGUGCGCAAAGGUCUGCAAUCCCCCUCUUUCAUAUAUGGAUGUGUCCCUCCCCCCAGCCCCCCCCCCCCAUUGAGAGUCCAUAUUGCACCUAGUGGGAGAAGCCUCAGGCAGGAGCUGUUGCAGGGUACGAAGGCAAGGUACAAGUUGAGUCUACCAGUUGCAGAGGGAAAUGCCCUCUUACAGUUCCUGACUUCAGGACAGCAAGCUUGCCCCCACCCCACCACCUGAUGCUUGGGUUAGAAACCCAAAAUGCAAUGUACAUGCUCAAUUAACGAGCGGACCAACUGGGUCUAAAGAUAGUCCAAUUACACUGAAGGCGUAUCUGUGCACCACCUGAUUUUCUUAAGUCUUUCAACUCAAUUAAACAAUUAAAAAUAGUGGGUAAAGUGUAAUAUACAUUGGUGUCUUCAUACCUGUACAAACCAGUUCUUUUCUAUGCCAAUAUCCCUCAGCCCCAAAAUGCCAGCAACAAUUGUAUAAAGAGAAAUGUUACUAAUAAAGAGUCAGGAUAACCUUUCAACAAAAAGUAUAUUUUAUCCUUUGGCAGAUACAGUCAUGAACAUUAAUCAUAGAAACCUGCAGAUAGUAGACGCUUAAUAUCAAAGCUAAUGAUUUAUUUUAUGUUAAUGACUUUCUGCCAGGGCAUAAAAGACUGCUCAUAAUGGACUCUCCAUGCUAUGUUCAGUUACUAAGGCUAAUGGGAUAAUCUUUUCUCUCCCAAAAUUAAGCUUUUUGAAAUAAAUUAUGCUGUUACUUUUCAAGGUAACUCUCAAAAAUUUACUGCAAAACUAAUCUUUUAAGAACUGCUUAAAGAAAUAAAGAGGAAGAAAAAUCCCAAAGCAGCUUUUCUAGUUCCUGAGCAGUUUUACUUAAUUAGAGAGAGAAAGUUUGCAUGUAUGCUAAUACUUCUGAACUUGUCCUGCCAAACAGUUUUAAAGUCAGCCUCCAGUGCCUGGCGCUUUCUGCCUUUUGAGACUCCGCCCUAGUGGGCACCUCCCACAAUGGAACACGUUUUUGUUGAUUGCAGGCCAAUAAUGAGCUGAAUGGUCGUGACACAUGGAGUUGUUCACUAGGAAGUUUUAAGAAGCAUGUUUACAAUUAGUUAUAACCAACAUUAUAUUUCAAUAAGAGAUAAUUUGCCUACUAAAAUUCACAUAAUGUGCUAAUCAUGUCUAGAGGUUAAUAAAGGCCUCCUACCUCACUCCCCUGAUGGCCAUAAAAGGCUAUUAUACUCAUGGCCACAGUUCAGGUACCUCGGCUGCGUGUGAAGAAUGCACCAUUGUCCCACUAAUCAACACACCGAAGGUCAGCACCCCUAAGCCCCUCAACCACCUAUUCUCUUUCCAAAAUAUUUAUUAACACCUUAAAAGCGUAUCUGUUCAUUUUCCUUAGCCUCGAGCCAGUGAAUUCCACUCCAAGCUACUUGUGAGAUCAAGGGUUUGUAACCUAAGCGAGGUCACAGAGGAGAUGAAUACAUAUUCACAUCAAUUUUCUCCCAUAAACAUGCUCCCCAUUCCAGUCAUUGACUGACUCAGUGUAGGGCUGUUGCAGUCCUGAGCGCCUUUAUAAUUAAGUAGGUGUGCUGCAGAGUGACAGUGUUUUCAGAUUUUGUACGUUAUUUAAGGAGACACUGGGAAGAAAAACAACUUUUCAACAACCAGAAUCACUUAAAGUAAACAGAGCAAAGUGGGAAAUGGGAAAGGCUAUUUAUAAUCUAAACAAGCAGGGAUCGCUGCUAGUUUAUGAACCCGAUAACAGUAGUGAAAUAUUAUUUGCUUAAUUGUUCUUUUGGCAUAGGAAAGCAAUAAUAGUAAAAGCUUCUUUAACCAUAUUUUUUCUGCACACAAAGAACGCAUUCACGGGGGAUUUCCAUUUUGCUAGAAAAUCGCACAAAUCAAUAAGCUAGCACUUAUCUGCAUUAAAAUUAGGUAGACCACAAUUUAUAGGCACAGUGAUAGUGUAGUUCUCUUGAUACCCUUGGUUAGUGUUUAAGAUAAUCCUUGCUUUUGUGUCCUCAGAGAGAAACCAAAAUGUUACGCGAACAAGAUCUCAUUUUCCCAUUUUGUAUUAUUGUCUCUGUUUUCUCUCACUCGUGUUGAUAACCUGGCGUGUGGGCGCGUGCUUGCGUGCGUGUGUCUUCCUUUUCUUAUGACUUGAGAACCUUAGAUGUUUUAAGAGAAGAAAAAGAAAUGAAACUCAACUAUGUUUCCAUCAUCAAGAGAAAUGCAAAAAGCGAACCAGGGGGAGGAGCUCCCGUUCUGUGCAGCACAUAAUGUACAAUGGUACAUUUGUCAUGCUUUAAAUAUAUAAUGCCUACAAUAAAAUAUGUACAGGCGCAGUUGUGAUCUAUGAAGUC